rnacentral:pre_miRNA from 1 species
AGUGGGAGUGCUGGGUCAAAUGGUAAUUCCAUUUCCUGUUUUCUAAGGAGUCAUCAUACUGCUUUCCAGAUUGCCUGCACCAAUUUGCAGUUCCACCAGCAAU